GAUGAACGCUGGCGGCGUGCCUAAUACAUGCAAGUCGAGCGAACAGAUAAGGAGCUUGCUCCUUUGACGUUAGCGGCGGACGGGUGAGUAACACGUGGGUAACCUACCUAUAAGACUGGAAUAACUCCGGGAAACCGGGGCUAAUGCCGGAUAACAUUUAGAACCGCAUGGUUCUAAAGUGAAAGAUGGUUUUGCUAUCACUUAUAGAUGGACCCGCGCCGUAUUAGCUAGUUGGUAAGGUAACGGCUUACCAAGGCAACGAUACGUAGCCGACCUGAGAGGGUGAUCGGCCACACUGGAACUGAGACACAGUCCAGACUCCUACGGGAGGCAGCAGUAGGGAAUCUUCCGCAAUGGGCGAAAGCCUGACGGAGCAACGCCGCGUGAGUGAUGAAGGUCUUCGGAUCGUAAAACUCUGUUAUUAGGGAAGAACAAAUGUGUAAGUAACUGUGCACGUCUUGACGGUACCUAAUCAGAAAGCCACGGCUAACUACGUG
rnacentral:rRNA from 1 species